rnacentral:rRNA from 1 species
AUGGCCGGAGCGAUCGCGUACGAGGAGCAGCGCCGGAGGCAGAUAGAGGAGAACAAUCGCAAGCUAGAGGAGCUGCACCUGCACCAGCUCUCCGCAGCCUCCGUGAAGCAGAAGCGGGUGCCGCGGGACGCCGCGGUCCGGCAGUCCGGCCGUGUUGCCAGCCUCCCCAAGCAGCCCAAGAUUAACUUGGUGGCGAGCAGCACGAGGAGUGACUUGAUUAAUCGAGUGUACGCCACAGACGAGGCCAGACUCCAUGCCAACUCCAAGGCCCAAGAGCUGCUGCGUAAGCUGGUGCCCGGCGGCAACCCCAGCUUUGUGAAGCCCAUGAAACAGUCUCAUGUCACUGGAGGCUUCUGGCUCGGCCUCCCGACGCAGUUCUGCCGGCUGUAUCUCCUAGAGAGUGAUCAUAGAAUCACUUUGGAGGACGAGGAGGGUGACGAGUAUGAAACGCUCUACCUCGCGCUUAAGACGGGCCUCAGCGCCGGAUGGAGAAAGUUCGCCUUGGAGCACAACCUGGUUGAUGGUGAUUGCUUGGUGUUCGAGUGGGUCGUGUGGAACAAGUUCUAUGUCUACAUUAUCAGACAAAGUUCCUACUACAAAUGA